rnacentral:rRNA from 1 species
UGUUCGGAAUUACUGGGCGUAAAGGGCUCGUAGGCGGCCAACUAAGUCAUACGUGAAAUCCCUCAGCUUAACUGGGGAACUGCGUGUGAUACUGGAUGGCUUGGAUUUGGGAGAGGGAUGCGGAAUUCCAGGUGUAGCGGUGAAAUGCGUAGAUAUCUGGAGGAACACCAAUGGCGAAGGCAGAUCUCUGGGCCGUAACUGACGCUGAGGAGCGAAAGCAUGGGGAGCGAACAGG